UUGCAUGCAGUAGCUGGCAUUACAGCUACUGGAAAAGUCAGUUAACGUGUCUGGGGAUGGAGAGGAAUUCCUCCAUGGACAUCUCCAUAAAACUCUCCUGGAUGUACUCCCAAAGCCUUUGCAAAACGUUUCUGGGGAAGGCAGACUUAUUCCGUC